rnacentral:lncRNA from 1 species
GGGUCCAAAUCAUGUAGGGGGACUGAGAUGAGUUAUUUGGUCGGUUCUUCAUCUUGCCAUCUUCCUCCAUCAUCGAUGUCAAAUCCUUCAAUAGAUAAUGCUUCUUUAGGCUUCUUGCCUCUGAGAGAGGUGACAUAGCAAUGUCUGACUGGGGCUUGAUCACCUUGGAGCUCACCCACCCCUUGAAUGGUAGGAAACUUGACUAGCAAGUGGUAAGUUGAGAUGAUGGCUCGGAGGACUUUCAGAUUGGGCC